rnacentral:sRNA from 2 species
UCAAUGGGAAACUAGGGUUCCGGUCGAUACAAUAAACGGCGUCAGGUCCAAGAGUUUCCGGUCUCGUGAUAGCGAGGCUCCACGGAGGGAUAAAAGCCCGGGAGGU